CCUUCCAGAUGUUUCGCACGCCGUUUCAAGGACUCCAAGCCACGCUGGCGGGGACUAACGGGUGCGGCAAAACGGCAGGUUGGGGAAGGCUGCAGCGGAAAGAUAGCGGCGAGGGACGGGAAAGCAGCAUCGGGGGGCGUCGAAGAUAAGAACAAGGCGGCUGGCAGCACGGCGGCCUCACUGAAACUCUUUCCCGCAUCCCCUUCCACAGUCGCCCCUGUCCUUAGGAGCAAUAGACUGCCCUUUCAUCCAUUACGAGCGAAUUAAAAGGUUACGAAGACGACUCUUCUUCCUCUUCUGACUUUCCGUUGGGUCCCACCCCGCGUUUCGCGCUUUGCGAAAGCGAAAGCAGGAGAGCAAACCUUCUACGACAUGUCGGGCUCUUUCGGACGUACGCUAUGCUUGCUCCUUCCUAUGCUGCCUGCCUGGUCAGCUCUGACAGUCACUGUGCCUUCGUCCCCAAUCCAGGCCAGGCCAGGCUCUGAUGUACUGCUCCCAUGCGCCAUUUCUGGGUCCAUAGUUCUUAAACGCCUGGCUGUGAUGUGGAAGAAGGAUGGCAUUACCAUUGCUAAAUAUGAGCAUGACUUUACAACGAAAAGGGCAGGGGCAGUGAUGACGGCCGAGCAGCUGCAAGUAGGCAAUGCCAGCCUCCUGCUCCCGAAGGUGCACCAAGGAGAUGCUGCCGUUUAUACGUGUUUCGUUAUCCUUAUGCCUGCAAGUGCAGAAAAGUCACUGGAGCUGAGAAUAGAAGCUCCUCCAGUACUAUCACUCGAACCAAGAACGCUCCUGUUAUUCCAGCGAGGAUCGGUGACGUGCGCAGCAUCACAUUUCUACCCUGACACAAUCUCUUUCACGUGGCUCAGGGAUGGCGAGCCCGUGGAAGGCCUCCGAUCUCUCCCUGCUGUGCAGGGCUCCGACGGCUUGUACAAUGCCAGCAGCGUCCUGGACCUCACCCCUAGUGUCUCUGACGCCGGGGCCCACUUCUCCUGCCAGGUCAACCACACUGCAGUCAGAGGCCUCCUUAAGCAAAGCUUUCUGCUGCAGGUGCACGCUCGCCCAGUCCUCCACAUCCUCACUGUGCCCCAAGAGAAGAAUUUUGGGGCAGCCAUCUGCCUAGUGAGUGGGUUUUACCCAAAACACAUUAAAGUCGAAUGGCUGAAAAACGAUAUACUGCUGGAAACGCUGAAUUCUCGUCUGUACAACUUGACUGAUGGGACCUACUCCAUUCAAAGCGCCAUCUUUCUAAAGGAGAGUGAUGCUGAAGUCAGCUAUGUCUGCAGGGUAUGGCAUGAGUCACUGGACACCCCUCUGAAGAUGACAGUCAACUGGCAGCCCAGAGGUGGGCAUGAUGGGAUUUCCCAGAUGGAGGAAAUCAUCCCCAAGUUAUCGCCUAUAACUAUUGCAUCUCCCAGUGACACGACUUCUGAUUCAGGGGUCCUGGUGGUAUCUCCCUCCCCCGGCAUGAGUUUCUGGACUGGAAUUGUGGUAUUUGUCCUAGGCCUGCUCCUAGCAAUUGCUGCAGUGAUCCUCUACUAUAAAGCCAAGCUUAGAUCAGCUGCACAAAGAAACGUUAAGCAAAACACUUCUGAAAAGUCUGGAUUUGAGAGCCUACGCAGCACCGGUUUAGAGACUAAACCUGCUACUCCAAGACAGAAAAGUGAGCACAUCCUCAUUAAAAAUGAAGGCCAGGACCAUGCUAUGCCAGAAGCCUGGACAGAAAUGCAAAGUGACAGUUGUACUGCAAUGCUAUAGUAGUUGCUGGGCUCUGCGGAGUGGCUUGUCAGGGGAGGAACAGGGGAGGAAGGCUGAUCCACCGUAUGAGUACUUGCAUGCUGGUAGGUACUUGUAGGAGUGGGGUCUCUGCAAUCAAGCAGACCAGCUGCGACCCACAGGAAGCUGCAUAAGAAACUUCUCAGUCCUGUCCAGGUCUGCCCCACCAACACUAAUCUCUGUGCUUGGCUUUCUUGUGUCCCUGAUCUGGCUUCCCCCCCGCCCCAACCCCGGUGUUCCCAUUCCUGUCUUGAUCCUUGCGUGUUCCUGACUCUGACUUUGCCUCUGGCCCUGCUGUGUCUUGCCUGGUUUCUGACUCUUGUUUGUUCCUGACUCUGACUUUGCCUCUGGCCCUACCACGUCUCUCCAAGCUUACCAUCUGCCUCUGCCACACCUAGUCCUGCAAACGGAAGGAUGCCAUGCCAUGGACGGCUCCAUGGCGAGUCAGAAGCUCUCGAACAUGGAGACUUCUGAGAUUCCAGUGCCUGGGAUGGGAGGCGAGCUUUGCCUUCUCAUCAUCUGACCCUAGAUGUGUUCCACUAGAUAGGCAGUUUCACUUCAUCCUGGUGUCUCCCGUGUCCUCCCUGCAGACCAUAAUGCCCUCCCUGAGGUCAAUCUUGCAGUGUUGGAGAAGCAGUUGGCCUGCUUCGCUUUGUCCUACUGUAGGGCAGGUCUCCAACUCCUGUUCUGAGGUUGCAGAGCUCUGUCUAACCUCAGAGGGUAAUCUGAGUCAUGUUGUGCUUUUAGGUACAGUUGUCCAGGAACCACAGGACGGAUCAUUAAGUUUGUUUGUUUUUAGUAAUCUGUGCUCUUCCAAACUUUAUGGUUUUUGUAUUGUAUAGACUGCACCGGAAGAAUGCUGAGGAGGAUAUUAAGGUUCAGCAGGUAGUAGAGUGAACUUACCCAGUGUCUGAGUACUAAAGAUAAUGGUCUUUCUUGAGUACUGCUUCCCCCAGCCUUUCUGUAGGCAAAGGCUGCUUUUGCUUUGAAAACAAAUCGACUUGCUUUACUGAAGUGGCUUUGCUGAAAUGGGGAACAGAGGAACUGUACAGAAUCUAUGGCAAGCAGGUUUGUCAUUCGAUUUGGCUUGGGAAGAAGAAUUGACAUGUCACUUAUUCAGUUGACUUCAUUUUUUAUUUUUAUUUUCAUUAAAAAGUAGAGUAUAAAAAAGAAAAAAAUGAUGCCACAGGAUCUUACACAAAUACUGCAGAUAAUAUCAAACUUACCCAGUUGACUUUAGAGGUCAUAGAAUCAUGGAUUAGUAGAGUUGGAAGAGGCCAUGAAUGCCAUUAGGCCCAACCCUCUGCUGUUACAGGACACCAAUUUACACCAUCCAAGUCCAGGAAACCAAACAGCCGUGGGUGAGUGUAAGGUUUGUUUGGGUUUUUUUGUUUGUUUUGUGCUUGUUGAUAUUCUGUAUCCAUAUUUCAUCAUUAUAUUCAAUGAACUAUAUAUCCAUCUUUACCAUAAGUGGUCUGUAUAUCCAUCUUCAGAGCAAGUUUGAUUCUGUGUGUCCUUGAAUUUGGAGCUGAGGUGCCUUGCCAAACUGAGUUUCUGGGAUCAGUCUACCCUAGGACCAGGAUGUCCGAAAGCCACUAACUGCCAUAUGAACCUGCAUGAACAUAAAGACCAUGAGCUUUGUAGAAGAUGUGAUGGAAGUAGAACCAUCAAGAACUGGUUUCUUAAGUAUCAACAAAACUACCUAUACUUUUGGAUUCUCUUUUGGACUCUCAUUGCACUUCAAGAUGUACCAUUAUGCUGCGGUCUUUCAGCAUCCAACCUGUUCGUGGUCACAGUUACUGAAGAUCAUAUUCCAGCUUGUGUGUACACAAGGGUGCCAGCGAGCUCAAAAACUUCAUCCUGAGCAAUCAUGGAUGAAGGCACGGCAGGGAAGGGGCCAUAGCCUGGUCCGCAUAGGCAAGGUUCCAGCUUCAAUCCCAGACCUUUCCACUUUAGACAGAUGCAGCAGCAUGUAGCAGGAGAGAUGGGCUGAUUGAAGGCAGCUUUCUUAUGUUCCUGGGGAGUUGAAGUUUGGUGUGCAACGUAACAUGUAAAGCUAGAAGAAGCCAGAGGACCGUGGGGUCCAAUCCACUGCUCAGUGCAGGAUUCCCAGUUAAACCCUCCCUCUAAGAUGGCUGCCCAGUUGCAUCUUGGAUGCAUUUAGUGUGGGAUAGCCCACAACCUGUCGGAGUCAUUGGUUGCAUUGUUGUUGUUAUGCACGCACGCUCAGAAGAGGCUCACGCGCGCAGACAAGGGAGUGGAGGUUCUGGUGAGAACCAGAGCUCCAGGAGGAGUCAGUCAUUGUCCCAAGAAGAGUACAAAGCUCUCACCCUCCUUGCCUAGAUGCUUUGACUAGUGGAAGAACAGGUGGUAUUUUGCUGCAAGCGGGGGAAGCUGAGGUGCAGGAUCAAGACACUUGAAGGGCAGACAUGGGGCUUGAUACUGGUCUGAAUUGUGAGAACGAAGGGUCUUGGGAUCCGGGGGGCUUCUUGGGGAUAUUGAGGGUGCUCGUUCACACAGGCACACCUGCAGGCUAGGACAGUUGGAGUCUCAAUUAGAGGAACAGCUGCAAGCUGCCUUCACAGUGCCUGCCUGCUAGGGACCAUCCCCAGAGGGUUCAUAGGAAAAGUGUGGGGUGACGUUAGUCGGAGCGAGAGGUCAACUUUCUAUCCUGUAUCAUGUGUGUUGUGAAUACCUUGUAGCUGUUCAGCUUAAAGAGAAUAAAGAUUUUUGUAGUA